GUCUUCGUAGUGUAGUGGUCAGCACGCUCGACGCGUAACCGAGAGGUCCGUGGUUCGAUUCCUGGCGAAGGCG
rnacentral:tRNA from 1 species